ensembl:rRNA 5S_rRNA 5S ribosomal RNA
GACUAUGGCCAUACUACCCAGAACACGCCUGGUCUUAUCUGAUCUCAGAAGCUAAGCAGGGUCGGGCUUUGUUACUACUUGGAUGGGACACUAUUAAAAUAUGACAAGUCAGCAAAUGAUCC